GCUCAAGCCUUCUACUGUGGCUGUUUG
rnacentral:ribozyme from 1 species